rnacentral:rRNA from 1 species
GAUGAACGCUGGCGGCGUGCCUAAUACAUGCAAGUCGAGCGAACAGACGAGGAGCUUGCUCCUCUGACGUUAGCGGCGGACGGGUGAGUAACACGUGGAUAACCUACCUAUAAGACUGGGAUAACUUCGGGAAACCGGAGCUAAUACCGGAUAAUAUAUUGAACCGCAUGGUUCAAUAGUGAAAGACGGUUUUGCUGUCACUUAUAGAUGGAUCCGCGCCGCAUUAGCUAGUUGGUAAGGUAACAGCUUACCAAGGCAACGAUGCGUAGCCGACCUGAGAGGGGGGUCGGCCACACUGGAACGGAGACACGGUCCAGGCUCCUACGGGAGGCAGCAGUAGGGUAUCUUCCGCAAUGGGCGAAAGCCUGACGGAGCAACGCCGCGUGAGUGAUGAAGGUCUUCGGAUCGUAAAACUCUGUUAUUAGGGAAGAACAAAUGUGUAAGUAACUAUGCACGUCUUGACGGUACCUAAUCAGAAAGCCACGGCUAACUACGUG